AGAAUCAACGCUGGCGGCGUGCCUAACACAUGCAAGUCGAACGAGAAAGUGGAGCAAUCCAUGAGUAAAGUGGCGCACGGGUGAGUAACACGUGACUAACCUACCUUUUAGUGGGGGAUAACCUAGGGAAACCUGGGCUAAUACCGCAUAAUACCUACGGGUCAAAGCAGCAAUGCGCUGGAAGAGGGGGUCGCGGUCGAUUAGUUAGUUGGCAGGGUAAUGGCCUACCAAGACUGUGAUCGAUAUCCGGCCUGAGAGGGCGCACGGACACACUGGAACUGAAACACGGUCCAGACUCCUACGGGAGGCAGCAGUGGGGAAUUUUGCGCAAUGGGGGAAACCCUGACGCAGCAACGCCGCGUGGAGGAUGAAGUCCCUUGGGACCGUAAACUCCUUUCGAUCGGGACGAUAAUGACGGUACCGGAAGAAGAAGCCCCGGCUAACUUCGUGCCAGCAGCCGC
rnacentral:rRNA from 1 species